UGUUUGGAUCGCGCCGACGGCGGCAGUUCCUGUCGCCGAUGUCGCAAGAAGUUCAUUGAAACUUAUCAUUUAGAGGAAGGAGAAUUUGUAACAAGGUUACCAUAGGUGAACCUGCGAUAGUAUCAUUG
rnacentral:rRNA from 1 species